rnacentral:rRNA from 1 species
CAGUAGCCGCGGGAAAACAGAGGGUGCGAGCGUUAAUCGGAUUUACUGGGCGUAAAGCGUGCGUAGGCGGCUUCUUAAGUCGGAUGUGAAAUCCCUGAGCUUAACUUAGGAAUUGCAUUCGAUACUGGGAAGCUAGAGUAUGGGAGAGGAUGGUAGAAUUCCAGGUGUAGCGGUGAAAUGCGUAGAGAUCUGGAGGAAUACCGAUGGCGAAGGCAGCCAUCUGGCCUAAUACUGACGCUGAGGUACGAAAGCAUGGGGAGCAAACAGGAUUAGAUACCCGCGUAGUCCCUGUCUCUUAUAC